rnacentral:rRNA from 1 species
UGGGGAAUCUUGCGCAAUGGGCGAAAGCCUGACGCAGCGACGCCGCGUGAGUGAUGAAGGCCUUCGGGUUGUAAAGCUCUGUGGGGAGAGAAGAAUAAGUGCGGGCUAAUACUCCGCAUGAUGACGGUAUCUCCUUAGCAAGCACCGGCUAACUCUGUGCCAGCAGCCGCGGUAAGACAGAGGGUGCAAACGUUGUUCGGAAUUACUGGGCGUAAAGCGAGUGUAGGCGGUUUGGUAAGUCGGAUGUGAAAGCCCCGGGCUCAACCCGGGAAGUGCACUCGAUACUGCCAAGCUAGAGUAUCGGAGAGGUUGGUGGAAUUCUCGGUGUAGAGGUGAAAUUCGUAGAUAUCGAGAGGAACACCGGUGCGAAGGCGGCCAACUGGACGAAUACUGACGCUGAGACUCGAAAGCGUGGGGAGCAAACAGGAUUAGAUACCCAAGUAGUCCCUGAGCGGGCUGGCAAGGCGCAU